CUAUUCUGUUCCAUUGAUCUGAGUGUUUUGGGGUCAGUAACAUACUGUCCUGAUGACUACAGGUUUGUAAUACAUCUUGAAGUCCAGAAUUGUGAUGCCUCCAGGUUUGCUUUUCUUUUUCAGGAUUGCUUUGGUUAUUUGGGGUCCUUUGUGGCUCCA